rnacentral:rRNA from 1 species
AUGUCCUCGCCGGCGCCGCCAAUUGCCCCGGCCAUGGCCUCGCCGACGCCGCCAGUCGCCGAAUGUCCGACACCGUCCUCGCUCCUGGCCCUUCCGGAUGUGAACCUGGAGGAUAUAUUCCUCCGCCUGCCCACACCGGCGGCGCUCGCCCGCGCCUCCCUCGCCUGCGCCGCCUUCCGCCGCAUCAUCACCGAGCGCUCUUUCCUCCGCCGCUUCCGCAAACUCCACCCGCCUCCCCUCCUCGGCAUCAUCGACGACGAAGGUGUCUUCGUGCCCACCGAGGCGCCCCACCCUUCCGCCCCGCUCUCCCGUGCUCUUGUCCAAGGGGCUGAUUUCACCUACUCCUUCGUCCCAAAGCCACUCGGUAAAAAUCACACAAUCUGGUCUCCCUGCGACGUCCGCGACGGCCGCGUCCUCCUCGAGCACCGCCGGUCUGGAGCUCACACUUUCUUCACAGACCUGGCGGUGUGCGACCCCCUGUCGCGGAGGUACCUGCUGCUCCCACCCAUUCCUGAGGAUAUGACGAUCGAGCAAGAGCGCCUCGAUGAAUUGCGGCAUUUCCUCAUUCCCAUUCGCGAGAAUGAAGAUGAGACAUCGCUCAAGGUGAUCUGUCUGGCAUAUUACAGAAGCAAGUUGGUCACAUUCAUCUUCUCUUCUGUCACGGGACAAUGGUGUAUAGCUGCGACUACCAGCUGGAGUUCUUUGGGCGUAGUUGACCCCUUCAGGAGAUUGUUCUCCUGUUUUAACUACUUUCGCGGCUGCUUCUACUGGUCCUUGGAUUGGGAGCACAAGCUGCUUGUGCUGGACACACACAGGAUGGCGUUUUCCACUCUCAGUAUUCAUCAUCCUGCCUACUAUAUGAAGUUUAUAGGUCAGCCUGAACACAUCAGAUGCAUGCCUACUGUUGUCGAGGAUAGAAAAGGAGCCCUUGAAGUGUUUAAUCUUGUCGGUGAUCCUUUUGAAUCUACCCCGUUUGAUCUCACCGGUGGUCCUUACAAUCUUACCCCAUUUUACAUCUAUCAUACCUUUCGACAAAAAGGAGAAUCUUCCAGUGAAUGGCAGCUGUUAAAUGUUAUGGAGUUGCCUCGCGGAUAUUGUUAUUAUACUGUGGGUGCAGCUGAGGGGUUCUUAUUCCUUGGAGCUGGAGGGAUUGGGAAAACUCAGCCGGAUGAUUGGGGUGCAGAUGUUUUUUCGCUGGAGGUCAAGACUUCUCAACUUAAGAAGGUCUGUAGAGCAACAAACGUCACUGUCUUUUGUUUUCAGUCUUACUUCGGCUUCCCACCAUCAUUGUCAACACCGAGUCUAUGA